GACGAACGCUGGCGGCGUGCCUAAUACAUGCAAGUUGAGCGCUGAAGGUUGGUACUUGUACCGACUGGAUGAGCAGCGAACGGGUGAGUAACGCGUGGGGAAUCUGCCUUUGAGCGGGGGACAACAUUUGGAAACGAAUGCUAAUACCGCAUAAAAACUUUAAACACAAGUUUUAAGUUUGAAAGAUGCAAUUGCAUCACUCAAAGAUGAUCCCGCGUUGUAUUAGCUAGUUGGUGAGGUAAAGGCUCACCAAGGCGAUGAUACAUAGCCGACCUGAGAGGGUGAUCGGCCACAUUGGGACUGAGACACGGCCCAAACUCCUACGGGAGGCAGCAGUAGGGAAUCUUCGGCAAUGGACGAAAGUCUGACCGAGCAACGCCGCGUGAGUGAAGAAGGUUUUCGGAUCGUAAAACUCUGUUGGUAGAGAAGAACGUUGGUGAGAGUGGAAAGUUCAUCAAGUGACGGUAACUACACAGAAAGGGACGGCUAACUACGUG
rnacentral:rRNA from 1 species